GUGGCUCGAGGACGAACGCUGGCGGCGUGCUUAACACAUGCAAGUCGAACGAUGAACCAGGGCUUGCCCUGGGAAUUAGUGGCGAACGGGUGAGUAACACGUGGGCAACCUGCCCCAGACACCGGGAUAACCAUCCGAAAGGAUGGCUAGUACCGGAUAUGACCACUUUGGGCAUCCAACGGUGGUGGAAAGGAUUCUGGUCUGGGAUGGGCCCGCGGCCUAUCAGCUAGUUGGUGGGGUAAUGGCCUACCAAGGCGACGACGGGUAGCCGGCCUGAGAGGGCGACCGGCCACACUGGGACUGAGACACGGCCCAGACUCCUACGGGAGGCAGCAGAGGGGAAUAUUGCGCAAUGGGCGAAAGCCUGACGCAGCGACGCCGCGUGAGGGACGAAGGUCUUCGGAUUGUAAACCUCUUUCAGCAGGGACGAAGCGAAAGUGACUGUACCUGCAGAAGAAGCACCGGCUAACUACGUG
rnacentral:rRNA from 1 species